CAUCGCCGCGGUAAAACGUAGGUGGCAAGCGUUGUCCGGAAUUAUUGGGCGUAAAGGGCUCGCAGGCGGUUCCUUAAGUCUGAUGUGAAAGCCCCCGGCUCAACCGGGGAGGGUCAUUGGAAACUGGGAAACUUGAGUGCAGAAGAGGAGAGUGGAAUUCCACGUGUAGCGGUGAAAUGCGUAGAGAUGUGGAGGAACACCAGUGGCGAAGGCGACUCUCUGGUCUGUAACUGACGCUGAGGAGCGAAAGCGUGGGGAGCGAACAGGAUUAGAUACCCCCGUAGUCCCUGUCUCUUAUACA
rnacentral:rRNA from 1 species